UUCUGGCUCAGGACGAACGCUGGCGGCGUGCCUAAUACAUGCAAGUCGAACGGUCUUUCUAUGGAAGCUUGCUUCCACUGAGAAGAUAGUGGCGAACGGGUGAGUAACACGUGGGUAACCUGCCCAUAAGAGGGGGAUAACAUCCGGAAACGGGUGCUAAUACCGCAUAGUUUUCUUGAUCGCAUGAUUGAGAAGGAAAGACGGCCUUUGUGCUGUCGCUUAUGGAUGGACCCGCGGCGUAUUAGUUAGUUGGUGAGGUAACGGCUCACCAAGACGAUGAUACGUAGCCGACCUGAGAGGGUGAUCGGCCACAUUGGGACUGAGACACGGCCCAAACUCCUACGGGAGGCAGCAGUAGGGAAUAUUGCACAAUGGGGGAAACCCUGAUGCCAGCAACGCCGCGUGAGUGAUGACGGCCUUCGGGUUGUAAAGCUCUGUCUUCAGGGACGAUAAUGACGGUACCUGAGGAGGAAGCCACGGCUAACUACGUGCCAGCCGCCGC
rnacentral:rRNA from 1 species